rnacentral:rRNA from 1 species
GAUGAACGCUGGCGGCGUGCCUAAUACAUGCGAGUCGAGCGAACAGACGAGGAGCUUGCUCCUCUGACGUUAGCGGCGGACGGGUGAGUAACACGUGGAUAACCUACCUAUAAGACUGGGAUAACUUCGGGAAACCGGAGCUAAUACCGGAUAAUAUAUUGAACCGCAUGGUUCAAUAGUGAAAGACGGUUUUGCUGUCACUUAUAGAUGGAUCCGCGCCGCAUUAGCUAGUUGGUAAGGUAACGGCUUACCAAGGCAACGAAGCGUAGCCGACCUGAGAGGGUGAUCGGCCACACUGGAACUGAGACACGGUCCAGACUCCUACGGGAGGCAGCAGUAGGGAAUCUUCCGCAAUGGGCGAAAGCCUGACGGAGCAACGCCGCGUGAGUGAUGAAGGUCUUCGGAUCGUAAAACUCUGUUAUUAGGGAAGAACAAAUGUGUAAGUAACUAUGCACGUCUUGACGGUACCUAAUCAGAAAGCCACGGCUAACUACGUG